UAUGUACUCCCUCUAUUCGGAAUUACUUGUCUUAGAAAUGGAUGUAUCUAGAACUAAAAAACAUCUAGAUACAUCCAUUUCUGCGACAAGUAAUUUCGAACGGAGGGAGUACCUC
rfam:Triticum aestivum genome assembly, contig: Triticum_aestivum_CS42_TGACv1_scaffold_642597_T_7AS-0.086394_5DL-0.046671